UUGCUCAAAGUGAAAAGAAAGAAGAUUUCAGUUUGGCUGAAGAACUCACCCGAGAUCAUUAUUUCUUUGCUAUUUAAACAAGAUCACACUAAACUUCUUUUUUUUCUUGUGUUUUGUUUGAGUGUUGUUGUUUUUUUGUUUUUUCCUGUAACAUUUCCUGUUUACUUUUGUUUAAGAAGGGAACCAAACAACACAAUGGACUUUAUUUUGUUCUUGGCAUGGUUAUUCAAAGAUCUUAGUGCCAAAGAGUACAUUCAAAAAAAGAAAAAAAACUAGAGAUAAGGGAAACUAUUCUUUUGUAUAGAAUUUAGAUCUGUACUUUGUUAUUGUUUUGCAGAAAAAUUGUCUUUGAUCUCCGCAUGAACUUUUAAUCAAUGUAGAAUUUAUUCCAUGUAGUCUGUGAUUAAUCUUUUUUUUUUUUUUUAAAGUGUCUUGGUAUUAUUCCAGUAAAAUGAGAUUGUAUAGAUAAAUGUAAUGUUACUUGAACAAAUGUGUAUUCCAAUGGAUUACUUCCUAAUGUUGUACCUCUACUUUUAGAAUGUAGUUAUGCAAAGGAGUGCCUACUUCAUUUGUUAUAAAAUCUUUCAAACAGAAUCUCCUUUUUAUUUCUUUGUUCAUAGAUAGACUCAAUACACAUUUUAAAAGGUGUCUUAAAUCAAUUGAAGUUAAAAUUUCAUGAAUGGAUCUGAAUCUUGUGGUUGCUGAAAAAUUGCAUUUUAACUGAAAUGUUAUUAAUCGUAUUUGAUCAGUUACAUUUUGAAGUUUUUAUCAAAUGCUCAUUUAUAACUAUUUUUCUAUUUGAAUAAAAAAAAAUAAUUUUGUAA
rnacentral:sRNA from 1 species